UCGGACUCACUGUAGGCACACUCGCACCCACACAGGCGCACUGAUCGCCUGCCGGGAGGUGAUCCGAGAGACACGCACCGCGACGAGUCGAAGCGCACUCUUGCUCCACGUUGUGCGCUCGCUUUUCUCGUCUCCCACCACCUGCGACUCUCGUUGCAGUGGCAUUAGUGGUAGUGGUGGUGGUGCGCCCCCCUCAGACAGAAGGGACCAACACGCACACUCCAUGCAUAUUUGCAGAGCUGCGCGUGAUAUCAGGCAGUCAGACACGAGCUCCUUAUUCUUCUUUCACUCUUCCCUCACAUUCUAAGACAGCUGGUACAGCGACACACCCGCACGGACUGGACAGUCGUUAGCAGGCGCACACUGACGCCUUCAGGCAUCGCUCAAGACGACCGUGCAUCUGUGGGUACGCGCGCGUUGCUUGCGGGGCUUCGCCCUCCUCCUCCCUAUCUUGUCCUGUUUUUCUUUUGAUUGAUCUUUUUAGUUUGGGUGCACUCUCUCAUCUUAUCGGAGCCUCCCGCGUCGGCAGGCGAUUUUGCCGCGACGACCACUACUCCCCCGCCACAGAUCUCUCUCUUCCUCAUUAGUUCCUUCUUCCGUGUCUGUUUCUGCGCCCACCGCGGCGUUGUUGUCUGCCACCCCCUCCCCCACCUACCUCCCUCCCUCUCGCCACGACCCUGUGAUUUGCCUUUUCUCUCGCUCCGUUCAUCGGCCUGCUAUUCCCUUCUUUUGUAGGCGAACGCACGCGCGUGCCUGCGUGCAUCUGUGCACUGUUGCGGCCCCGCCAUCUCCGUUGUAUGGCGCCAAGAGAGUACCCUGCGCCGCAACGAAUACACCCCCACCUCUUUUCUCAUCUGUGAUAACUGCUAAGGCCCUUCUCCUACGGACUUGAUCGGGCGGACUCCCAAACCCUCCCUCCUCCCCACCCUCUCUCCUCGACGAGUGAAAGCGAAGGUGUGGGGACAAGCAUCACCGGCCAUCCUGCCCUACAGCAGACGUACGACGGGACAGUUAAUCUUCUCUUUCUUUUUCUUUCCUUUUUUUGCGCGCAGAGGAGGUUGUAAUGCCGCUUGCGUCGAGUUGCGUGUCGCUGUGCGCGCCCUUCACGGCCGUUGCAGCGGUGUUGCUCUUUAUGAUGUCACACAUGCUGCGCUGCGGUAACUGGACAUUCGAGGUGCUCGCCGCCAAGAACGGCUGGGAUAGGGAGACGAAAGCGAACACAUGCUUGCGUGGAGGCUUGCUGUACCUGUUCACGUCUCUGGCUUUGUGGAUCGCCGUGUUUCUCCAUGCACCUGCGCGGCGUCUGUGGAUGCAGCUGCAGUGGAGCAGGAGGCGGGAGGAUGACGGAGCCAGCCGUGAGGCACUCCUGCACGGUGACGACGACUCUGCGAGUCACGCUGGUGGACGUUACGGGCGCCGCGCUUCCAAGCGCUUACAGAGCCGCACGGGCAGCGGCCGGCGCGAGGAAGUGACGGAGAUGUCGGCACUGGACUGGGGAGAAGAUGCGCGGACGACAAAGUGCUCCGCCGCCGCCGCCGCAGCAGCUGGCGGCCUUCUAGCAGACGGUGAUAUGCGGAACAGCGCAGCGGUAGGCGCACCAAUGGCACGCCGCUUUUCCUAUUUCCAACGUAGCCUGACCGACGUUGGUGGUGGUGGCAGUGAUAACUCGAUGCGCGUCAGCGGUGACCUUGGCAGUGCGGGUGCCACACCAUCGAGCGGCCACACCGGGGCUGGCACCGUAUCGUGGAUGCAAUCACGCGGACUGAGGAGCCGCGGAACUGGCAGUGCUGCUUCGGGCUGCGCAAGUAUCGGUGCGGGCGGAGGACUCCGUUUGAACAGCAUCAGCUUUAAUGUACCGUCUCCUACCCCCACCACGGGGGCUGACAGCAUGGACGACAUGGAUUUCAUGUCGGACGUCGAGGUGGACGGGAUGCGGCACUACACUACGCCGCAGGUGCGAGCAUCCGCCUGGGGACUGCACCGUCCAACAACGGGCAUGGAAGCUCCUGGCGGAGCGGGAUUAGGGGGCUGGCAUCGCGCCCAGGCACGGGGAGCUGGCAACAAUGGUGCGCCAGCGACGGAACGUGGUGAUCAUGGGCACAGCGGCUCUACUGAGCCUACUACAACUGCGGCGCGGUUGUCGAUGCUCACCAGCCUUUGGCAGACGAGCAGCUCCGGACCAUCACCGACUGAGGCGCAUCGAGCAAGCAGCAGGCGGGUGAGCCGUGGCCACGGCCCACCCGCCGCACUCUCUGGCGGUAACGUUGGUGGCGGAGCAAAGAGCAAGAGUACUUGAUGGCUGUCCCUGUGCACGUCUCUCAUGCGUUGCCUUUCCGUGUGACCGGGUGUGAAGGGGUCUCGUGAGGCCUCUGUGUGUGUGUGUGUGUGUUUGGGUGCGUGGGCGGGUGAGUGAGAGUGUACUCGUGAAGUUCUUCGAGUCCAGUGGCGGGCCCUAGACGCACUCCCGUGUGGUGUUUGACUAUUUUGCUUGCACAUGUGCCUUUUGCUUCGACACUCCCCCCGCACUGUUUGCCCUGCCUGUCCCUCUGCCCACUUGUCACACCCGCAUGCGCUUCGCACCUCUCCUUCUCUGCAUCCGAAAGUGCCGCAGCUCUUUCAGAGGUCCUCGACCAACCAAGGACAAGCAAGGCGCUUGCGUCGCGCCGCACAUGUCUCUCUGCCUGCAUGUGCGCGUUUUUGUGAAACGGGGGAAAGAGGGGGAGGAGGCCACAUGCGACGGCUCAACGCACAUACCGGCGUGCGCUCUCGGGUUAGGAUCCUCAUGAGGGGGCUGGCACACGUGCCGUGCGCGCUCGCGCUCUUGCUGUCUCGCUCGCUCUCGGAACGAUUGCACGCUUCGAUUUUAUUCUUUCAGCGUGCGUGCAUGCAGCCGGCAUGGGAAGGGGUCGAGGCAGGAGCGGCAAGUACUCAAGCGGAUGCGGUGGUGCUGUGCCUCACGCUGGCUGCUUGGGAGGGAAGGGGAGGCGGCUUUUGUGUUUCUAUUUCCGAUUGCACGAGCAGCAGCACCCCAUCACCAUCGCCCGAAGAACAACCUGCGCACCGACAGCAGACGCCCAUCUACAGCUGCAUGUGCUCUUCGAGCUUUUUGCCUUGGUAGGAGAACGGAACAAGACUACGGGGGGGAGAUGGUGAUGCGAAGCCCCAUUCCAAGCGCAUGGGGCUCCGGGCGCGCAGCUAUGAGCACCGGCGCGGGUCAGAGAAAAGGGCUACGCAGGGGUCCCCUGGGGUACGCACUCGCAUGCAGGGAGAGACCAUGGAUGGAGGCGGACGCUUGGCAAGCGCGACGCGCCAAGGCACGAUACUUUUUAUUUCCUGUUUUCCUACUCUCUCCUCUCAAGCC
rnacentral:misc_RNA from 1 species